UACGUAGGCCGCGAGCGUUGUUCGGAUUUACUGGGCGUAAAGGGUGUGUAGGCGGUUUUCUAAGUUUGGUGUGAAAUCUCCCGGCUUAACCGGGAGGGUGCGCCGAAAACUGGGAGACUAGAGUGCGGGAUGGGAGAGUAGAAUUCCUGGUGUAGCGGUGAAAUGCGUAGAUAUCAGGAGGAAUACCGGUGGUGCAGACGGCUCUCUGGACCGCAACUGACGCUGAGACACGAAAGCGUGGGUAGCAAACAGG
rnacentral:rRNA from 1 species